rnacentral:lncRNA from 10 species
UCUGUAUUUACAGAUUAUUUAAACAACAGUCAACAAUGAGUACUUCAGAGUAUGAGCUUUUAUUCUGCCUUUUAAAAUAAAUAUAUGUACUCAUUUGUGCAAAUACCACUUGUUCUCCUCUGCUGCCAUUUCUGUGACAGCAGUGUGCAGGACUGUUCUUUAAAUGAUUAUUUUCUGAUGGGAUAACAGCCAAACAAAAACUGUCAGCUAUUUCAUAUCCUUUCUGAAGCUAUUUAGAAAUACGAAUUAACAUCUAAUGUGAAGAUCUAUAAAUAUGGAUUCUCGCACUGUCGCCCGGGCUGGAGUGCAGUAGCAUGAUCUUAGCUCACUGCAAACUCCACCAGCCAGAUUCAAGCAAUUCUCCUGCCUCAGCCUCCCGAUUACAAGCACCUGCCACCAUGUCCAUCUAAUUAUUUGUAUUUUUAGAAGAGACUGGGUUUCACCAUGUUGGCCUGGCUGGACUCGAACUCCUGACCUUGUGAUUCACUUGCCUCGGCCUCCCAAAGUGCUGGGAUUACAGGCGUGAGCCACCACGCCCUGCCAAAAAAGGACUAAUUGCUGUGUUCCUAAUACAUGUAGAAUCUGAAUGGAAAAUAUCCCAAGGCAACUGGCAUGAAACUGGACUUUCAGAAAUUUCACUUUUUAAAAAUUUAGAUAGAUUUUUUAAAAAUUUCCACCUCCACCAAAGCAGUCUUAAUGUUUACUACACAUUUAUACUUGCAAAAUGCAAGCUCAUAUACUGUAAUGACUCUGUUUUUUGUUGUUGUCAUCUUAUGUAGCAGUCAGAUGAUUCUAGCACAUUGUCAAGAUUCAGAUUUAAAAUUUUAAAUUAAGAAACCUACAAAAGAUAUUAAUUAGUGGAAAUACACCAAUAGUCUUUCAACUUCAGCAAGUAAUUAUGUUUCCAAUUUUGGAGAAAAUAUGUAAUUUUUAAUCUAUAGGAGUUUUAAAAGUUGGAUGGGAGCAUGCAUGCCCUUCUUGCCAACAAAUACAUUUUAACUUAAAGAUGGAAAAUACAGAAUGUUUGGAAAAUUCUUGUGACAGUCACUCUAACGAAGGUAUCAUCCUUGCUUGUUGUUGUCACCAGUGAAUGUAUCGUACAUGAGGUAGAAAGUUGUGACUAAAAACUACCUCUGGUCCACCUACUCUGUUCCAGAGGAAGUAAUACUUCCUUCCCUACUUUGAGGAAGUCAUUCAGUUUUGAUACCAUGCUUUGCAUGUAAAUCUCUCUCUAUUGGAUCCUCAUCCAAGUGGUCAGAGGGAUGCUUGUUUGGUUGUUAAAAGAAAUUUUUGAAAAAUAAGGUAGAGAGCAGAAUUAUUUUAGAUAACAUCUGAAUGCCUGGGAGAGAAAAUAAAGGCACAGUUAUC